rnacentral:rRNA from 1 species
UACGAAGGGUGCUAGCGUUGUUCGGAAUCACUGGGCGUAAAGAGUACGUAGGCGGUUAGGUAAGUCGAUUGUGAAAGCCCCGAGCUUAACUCGGGAAUUGCAACCGAAACUGCUUAGCUUGAGUAUGGUGGGGGAUAGUGGAAUUUCUAGUGUAGGGGUGAAAUCCGUAGAUAUUAGAAGGAAUACCGGUGGCGAAAGCGACUAUCUAUGCCAUUACUGACGCUGAGGUACGAAAGCGUGGGGAGCAAACAGG